rnacentral:rRNA from 1 species
CCAGCAGCUGCGUUAAUUCCAGCUCCAAUAGCGUAUAUUAAAGUUGUUGCGGUUAAAAAGCUCGUAGUUGGAUUUCUGCCGAGGACGACCGGUCCGCCCACUGGGUGUGCAUCUGGCUCGGCCUGGGCAUCUUCUUGGAGAACGUAUCUGCACUUCACUGUGUGGUGCGGUAUCCAGGACUUUUACUUUGAGGAAAUUAGAGUGUUUCAAGCAGGCUGUUGCAGGAAUAAUUUAGCAUGGAAUAAUAAUUUAGGGCUUCGGUUCUAUUUUGUUGGUUUCUAGAACUGAAGUAAUGAUUAAUAGGGACAGUCGGGGGCAUUCGUACUCAACAGUCAGAGGUGAAAUUCUUGGAUUUGUUGGAGACGAACUACUGCGAAAGCAUUUGCCAAGGAGGUUUUCAUUGAUAAAGAACGAAAGU